UAAUACGUAGGUGACAAGCGUUGUCCGGAUUUAUUGGGCGUAAAGCGAGCGCAGGCGGUCUUUUAAGUCUGAUGUGAAAGCCCACGGCUCAACCGUGGAGGGGCAUUGGAAACUGGAAGACUUGAAUACAGAAGAGGAAAGUGGAAUUCCAUGUGUAGCGGUGAAAUGCGUAGAUAUAUGGAGGAACACCAGUGGCGAAGGCGACUUUCUGGUCUGUAAUUGACGCUGAGGUUCGAAAGCGUGGGGAGCGAACAGGAUUAGAUACCCUGGUAGUCCACGCCGUAAACGAUGAGUGCUAAGUGUUAGAGGGUUUCCGCCCUUUAGUGCUGAAGUCAACGCAUUAAGCACUCCGCCUGGGGAUUACGACCGCAAGGUUGAAACUCAAAGGAAUUGACGGGGACCCGCACAAGCGGUGGAGCAU
rnacentral:rRNA from 1 species